GAUCAUGGCUCAGGAUGAACGCUGGCGGCGUGCCUAACACAUGCAAGUCGAACGAAGCACUUAUGACGAUUCCUUCGGGAUGAAGCGUUUGUGACUUAGUGGCGGACGGGUGAGUAACGCGUGGGUAACCUGCCUUAUACAGGGGGAUAACAGUUAGAAAUGACUGCUAAUACCGCAUAAGCGCACAGUCUCGCAUGGGACAGUGUGAAAAACUAAGGUGGUAUAAGAUGGACCCGCG
rnacentral:rRNA from 1 species